rnacentral:misc_RNA from 1 species
GAUUGAUUUCUUGAAAAGCAUAUAAAGCAAAAUGGUGUGGCAUAGAGGUUAACUUAGAUGCCUAUGUUCUUGUUCAAUAAUAAAAUGAGAAAUGUGCAGUACAAAGCUCUUUUACUGCUGUAAACUAAAAGGCUUUCUGCAUUUUCUUGGUAAGAACCUAUUAAAAAAUGUUUCAACAUUUUACAUAAAAUUAUAUAGCAUUGACGUUACAUGCAUUAGAAGUUUGAUGGCUGUAAUUUUCUGUAG